AGUGAACGCUGGCGGUAGGCCUAACACAUGCAAGUCGAACGGCAGCACAGUAAGAGCUUGCUCUUACGGGUGGCGAGUGGCGGACGGGUGAGGAAUACAUCGGAAUCUACUUUUUCGUGGGGGAUAACGUAGGGAAACUUACGCUAAUACCGCAUACGACCUACGGGUGAAAGCAGGGGAUCUUCGGACCUUGCGCGAUUGAAUGAGCCGAUGUCGGAUUAGCUAGUUGGCGGGGUACAGGCCCACCAAGGCGACGAUCCGUAGCUGGUCUGAGAGGAUGAUCGGCCACACUGGAACUGAGACACGCUCCAGACUCCUACGGGAGGCAGCAGUGGGGAAUAUUGGACAAUGGGCGCAAGCCUGAUCCAGCCAUACCGCGUGGGUGAAGAAGGCCUUCGGGUUGUAAAGCCCUUUUGUUGGGAAAGAAAAGCAGCAGGUUAAUACCCCGCUGUUCUGACGGUACCCGAAGAAUAAGCACCGGCUAACUUCGUG
rnacentral:rRNA from 1 species